UCCUACGGGGAGGCAGCAGUGGGGAAUAUUGCACAAUGGGCGAAAGCCUGAUGCAGCGACGCCGCGUGAGGGAUGACGGCCUUCGGGUUGUAAACCUCUUUCAGCAGGGAAGAAGCGAGAGUGACGGUACCUGCAGAAGAAGCGCCGGCUAACUACGUGCCAGCAGCCGCGGUAAUACGUAGGGCGCAAGCGUUGUCCGGAAUUAUUGGGCGUAAAGAGCUCGUAGGCGGCUUGUCGCGUCGGUUGUGAAAACCCGGGGCUUAACCCCGGGUCUGCAGUCGAUACGGGCAGGCUAGAGUUCGGUAGGGGAGAUCGGAAUUCCUGGUGUAGCGGUGAAAUGCGCAGAUAUCAGGAGGAACACCGGUGGCGAAGGCGGAUCUUUGGGCCGAUACUGACGCUGAGGAGCGAAAGCGUGGGGAGCGAACAGGAUUAGAUACCCUGGUAGUCCACGCCGUAAACGGUGGGCACUAGGUGUGGGCAACAUUCCACGUCGUCCGUGCCGCAGCUAACGCAUUAAGCGCCCCGCCUGGGA
rnacentral:rRNA from 1 species